rnacentral:lncRNA from 1 species
GACCAUAGUGGAAAGAUGAAAUCAACUGGAUUUGGUUCUUAGGUGUAAUAAUGGCAUUUUGGUUAUGUAAGAGAAUGUUCUUAUUUCUAAGAGAUGCACACAGGAAUCUUUAGGGAUGAAGGGCCAUAAUGUCUGUAAUUUACUUUCAAAUGUCCAUCAUAUUCAUACACACAUACACAGUAUAUCUGUGAGAUAAUAAGAGUGAAAAGGUAAAUAGCAUCUUAGUAGUAUUAUGAAAAAAAUAUAUAUGGAGAGAGGGAAAGGGGAGAAAAAGCAAAUAUGAGACAAAAUAUUAGCAAUUUUGAAUCUACAUGAAAGCAAUCUAGUAAAUGAUGAAUCAUUUUAGUCUUCUUCCAGCCCUUUCUGUAGGUUUGACAAUUUUCAAAAUAAAAAGAUGGGGAAAAAAUGAAAAGAAAAAAAAAACUUUAAAAAGUCUUGGUAAUCACUGAUUAGAUAUGAGAGAAAGGGAGUGACUUUCUGGUUCCUUGCCUGGCAACAGAGUAGACAGCACUGUCCUUCCCAAGAGGGAAGUGCAAGAGGAGAAAUCGAAUUGGAGGGAUGAUGAGUUCGUUAUGGAGUGUGUGGACUUUGAGGUGCUCUGGGCUCCAACAGGCAACGUGCAACCCUGAAGUUUUUGAGAGGGAAAUGUGGUAAAGAUGCAGACAUGGGUGUCUUUAGAAUCUAGAUGGUAAUGGAAGGUACUGGGGGACCCUGGAGUAUCAAGGGCAUGUGUGGAGAAUGAGAAGAGAUGAGGUGUGAGGAUGAAAUCCUGGCGGACACUGACAUUUCAGGGUCAGCAAAGAAGGAUAUUGGAGUAGACAACUUCCAAGGUGGCCCAUGACACCACCUCUUCACAGGCAGGCUUUUGUGUAGUCAGCCCCUCUCACACUGUAUCAGUGUUGGCCUGUCAGACAAGAGGGGUGGAAGUGAUGGCAUGUCACUCCUGAGAUUACAUCAUAAAAGACAUUGUGGCUUUCAUCUAGGCUUGCUACAUGCUCAUUCUUGUGGAUCCCUUGUUCUGGGGGAAGCCAUCUAUCAUGUCAUGGUAGGCUACAGGGAGUUCCAUGUGGGGAAGAACUGAAACCUCCUCCCAACAGCCAUGUGAGGAAGCUUGGAAAACCUUAGAAGAGUAUCCUUUAAAAAAAAGUUUUAAAUUAAACACAAAUAAAUACAUAAACAGUACAACUGCAAUCUCAUGAGACAUCCCAAGCGAGACAACUCAGCAACAGAUAACGAACACAGACAAACCUCAAAGGUGAGUUAGAAGGGAAUAUGUCGAGACAGGAGAACCAUGAGCCUGGGAUCUUGAGAAUAUGUCAUGGAAGACAGCCUGGAAUACGGUGGCUAAUACUACUGAAUGGCAGAGGAUUGGAAUUUUCAACAAAGAGUGAUAUUCUUGAAUCCCUUAUGAUUGUGGUGACCCAGCCCGCUUCCUAGCUGGGAUGCUCCUUCAUCUGGUUCUGCCUAACUCACCCCUCAGCCCCCACUGCCUUGGGGCUCACAAUCUACUUAAAAAUUUCGAUAUAGUCACUCAUUUAUUCUACAAACAUUUACCAAAGUCCUUUGAUGUGUCAGCUCUAAGCACUCAAGAUGGAGUGGCAGUAGGAUCCCAACACUUAUAUCUGUCCAGAAUUGGUCAUCAGCUGGCUUGAGUUCUCCCAUUCUGCCUGUGCCUUCCCUUAGCAAGGGAAAGAACAAGAUGGAAGAGAAGGAAAAGGCUUGAUUGAACCAGCCAAUAGAUAAUUAGAAGCUGACUAUUUUGCAAUAAUGCAGCACAACAGCAAUAAAUAAAUCAAUCACUUGGGGGGUGGGGAAUGACUUCCCUAUAAUCAGCUAUUAAAGACUUGUACCACUAAUUAGUCUAUUAAUUAGAACUGUUCUCUUCCUUCCACAUGUUAUCAGCCUGCCAAGGCAGAGAAAACUCAGCCCCGGGGGCAGGAGAUAAGAGAAGUAAGACAUACAGAAGUGGCAGAUUCAAACAGCUGGGCUUGUGUGUGUUUUAAAAGCACAGUUCUUAGUGCCCCGGGCAUAUCCACCUGCUAGUAGGAAAAGAACGUUUAUCAAAAACCAAAAGGCUGUUGUCUUUGUUGAGCAGAAAGGGGAAAAAAAGAUUUAAUCUUUAAAGAGAAAAACCACUGUAACCACACUCAGGGAUCUGUGAAGGGCAGUUCCACUGGGUGUUCCCUACAGCACAGGACACAGUGAGAAAC